rnacentral:rRNA from 1 species
AGUGAACGCUGGCGGUAGGCCUAACACAUGCAAGUCGAACGGCAGCACAGUAAGAGCUUGCUCUUACGGGUGGCGAGUGGCGGACGGGUGAGGAAUACAUCGGAAUCUACUUUUUCGUGGGGGAUAACGUAGGGAAACUUACGCUAAUACCGCAUACGACCUACGGGUGAAAGCAGGGGAUCUUCGGACCUUGCGCGAUUGAAUGAGCCGAUGUCGGAUUAGCUAGUUGGCGGGGUAAAGGCCCACCAAGGCGACGAUCCGUAGCUGGUCUGAGGGGAUGAUCCGCCACUCUGGAGCUGAGACGCGGUCCAGACUCCUACGGGAGGCAGCGGUGGGGAAUAUUGGACAAUGGGCGGAAGCCUGUUCCAGCCAUACCGCGUGGGUGAAGAAGGCCUUCGGGUUGUAAAGCCCUUUUGUUGGGAAAGAAAAGCAGCAGGUUAAUACCCCGCUGUUCUGACGGUACCCAAAGAAUAAGCACGGGCUAACUUCGU